CAAUCUGGGGAAGGGAAGGCUGAGAGUGGACCCUAUUACUCUCUUCAAAUACCUGAAAGGUUUCAGAAUUAUAACUAUGUUGCUAUUCAACCACUGCUGAGAGAAUACUCAUUAAAAGUGAAAAGCGGGCCAAGAACUUCGAUGAACUCUUUCUAUUGUUUUAGUAGAACAGUAAAAGACUAAAGAAACAUCUUUAUGAAACUAAGAAAACAGCAUUCUUCAAGAAUGUAGAAUACUGAUGGGGAUAAAGGAGACUUUUUUUCUAUAUUGGCAAUCAUUCUCUUUUCUGAGAGACUCAUCGGUGGAAGAAAUAGUUCCAUAAAUUCUGAGGCGUUUGGACUGCUAUUUAAAAAGUACAAGGGAAUCAUCUUACCUAAGAACAACAGAGAAUUUUAUCAUGCAUACCUAUUACGAAGACAAGGGAAGUACAACUUAAUACUGAAGAGAGAAAGACCUUCUCAUUCCACAAAACAGAUUUUGGAUGAGAGUGAAGUCUCUCCCACAGUUCAGGUUUAAUCUCCAUGUAAUCCCAGUAAGCCUAAUGACUAAAUAAUGUGUUAUCCUUUUUGUUCUCACACCAGUGAAAUCAGACUCUGUAUUUUGCUGAUGUUUUUUCUACAAUCACCCCUAGAUCCUUCCAGAAUACUGACUGUGUGUGUGUCUGUGGAGGAAAUGCUUCUGAUAAUGGCUUUGUCAGGUUGUACACAGGAUGGAAUCCGGAUGCACUAUUCUGGACAUCAUGCUGUACUCUGGUAUUUUACUUAACAGUGUUUUGUUAAAAGAGAACCAAUGUAUAUUUGGUAUUCCUAAACAGAACAAAAGCCUUAACCCCUUCUUCAUUCUUCAUUUUAUGCUUUUUCCAUGCUAUUGUAAUUUGUUUUUUCAUUUACAGUCUAGGAGUCUAAUGUAUCUCAUUCCAUUGCUUUGACUAUUGCAAUAUCUCACCAGUGCACCUCUACUGUCUGUGGUGUUUAUAACUAGUCCAAGUACUACCUUUCUAGACUCCUCUUCCAUCUGUUCAUGCUCAGAUUCAAAUGUUCAGUUCUUUUUAUUUAGCCAUGUUAUGACUGUACAAAUCAGAAGGUUAAAUAAGAAAGAUCCUUAAACUGUUUGGAUUUCUGUGCCCAACAGUGUAGAUGGGUUAUACAAGUCACACUUCAGAACAUGUGAUUUUUGCACUUCUGAAGUUGUGAUUUGAAUUGCCCCAAAUGUCAGAUUGCAUGUCAUUCAUCCUACUGGUCUCAGCAUGAAAUUGAUAUUUGUGGAAUGGAUCAAAAGAACAAGUGUUUGUUGUGACCUCUUUCAAGUUUCCUAUGUAAUAAUAAUAGUAAAGGGUGAUUCUUGGAGAAUACUUUUGUUUUCUUGUUGGGUAGUUGGAAUUUUGUGUGAUUUCAUAUAUUUUUCUCAUUAAAAUCUAUAAUAUUUAGUCUUUCUGUGAUUGCAUUCAACAUAAAAUCCACAUGUUCACAGGAAUGAGAAUGUAUAAGUUUGUUAUCUGUAAGUUCUGCCUUGAUUCCUCUUCUUUACUGUGAUUUUUGUUGGUUUGGGUAUUCUCAAAUUCUUGUUUUUCAUUUACACAGAAAAAUAAUUCUUUGACUGCUGAUUUUAAUCAAUGUAAUCAAUUCAAGAUAUAUUACUUUACCCAGUGCUCAUUGCACCAUGCAGUUGCAGCCUUAAUAAAGCAUUAGUGCUGCUGUUUUUCUCAUUACAUUUUCCUAAAGGCAUUUUUGAACCCAUGUAUUUUCUUCACCACUGUUGAAGCUUCAUUACAAUAAAAAAGAGCCUCAUUCUUCUGUAGCUGUAGUUUUUGUAGCACGCUCUUAUGUUCUUGAUGACUUGUUUCUCUUUCCAAAUAGCUUCAAAUACUUUUCAGUCUUAUUAAGUUUAAUUCUGAGAAAUUUGUGCAUUACAUUAUCUGUAGCAAUCAAAUUCUUCAUACCAGGGACUGAAAAAGUCAUAUUAAGGUCAAAUACGUUUAGCUGUAUGUUGUCUCAUUAGCAAAUUACUUCAGAGGAUAAGAUAUUUUGAAGAAAUACAAUAGUAAGUAGGUAUUAGAAGUUCGUGAGCAGAGAGGACACAUAGUGUUUCAAAACUCUCAAUCAUGUAUAGAAUAUCUAACUAUCUCAGACUAUGUAACAAAACCACGUUGGUUCCAAAUUACUUUUGGUUACAUUGAAACCUUAUCUGAUUUAACAAAAUGUGUACAACAAACAACUCCCACACUGAGAUUGACUGGAGAAGUCUCACUUUGGCACAAAAUGACUUCUGUCUUUAUCUUUUUUGAUAUUACUGUGGUCUGUAGGUGAAUCCAAGAAUAUUCAUCAUAAUGAGAAUUUGU